rnacentral:rRNA from 1 species
UGGGGAAUUUUGGACAAUGGGCGAAAGCCUGAUCCAGCAAUGCCGCGUGUGUGAAGAAGGCCUUCGGGUUGUAAAGCACUUUUGUCCGGAAAGAAAUCCUUGGCUCUAAUACAGUCGGGGGAUGACGGUACCGGAAGAAUAAGCACCGGCUAACUACGUGCCAGCAGCCGCGGUAAUACGUAGGGUGCAAGCGUUAAUCGGAAUUACUGGGCGUAAAGCGUGCGCAGGCGGUUUGCUAAGACCGAUGUGAAAUCCCCGGGCUCAACCUGGGAACUGCAUUGGUGACUGGCAGGCUAGAGUAUGGCAGAGGGGGUAGAAUUCCACGUGUAGCAGUGAAAUGCGUAGAGAUGUGGAGGAAUACCGAUGGCGAAGGCAGCCCCCUGGGCCAAUACUGACGCUCAUGCACGAAAGCGUGGGGAGCAAACAGGAUUAGAUACCCUGGUAGUCCACGCCCUAAAACGAUGUCAACUAGUUGUUGGAUGGCAUUUCCAUUUCUGAUAACGUAGCUAACGCGUGAAGUUGACCGCCUGGGGAGUACGGUCGCAAGAUU